CAAUAGCGUAUAUUAAAGUUGUUGCAGUUAAAAAGCUCGUAGUUGGAUUUCUGAUCGAGACAUCAGGUCGGGUCCGAGAGGAUCAUGUACUUUGAUUUGUUUUGAUCAUCCUUGGGGAGAGCAGUUCUGGCAUUAAGUUGUCGGGGUUGGGAUCCUCAUCGUUUACUGUGAAAAAAUUAGAGUGUUCAAAGCAGGCCUCGGCCUCUGAAUACAUUAGCAUGGAAUAAUAAGAUAGGACUUUGGUGGUCUAUUUUGUUGGUUUGCACGCCAAAGUAAUGAUUAAUAGGGAUAGUUGGGGGUAUUCGUAUUCAAUUGUCAGAGGUGAAAUUCUUGGAUUUAUGGAAGACGAACUACUGCGAAAGCAUUUACCAAGGAUGUUUUCAUUAA
rnacentral:rRNA from 1 species